rnacentral:sRNA from 1 species
AUUCUGCCCAAGCGGGGAAGGAUGAGAAGCUUCGACCAAGGUUCGACUUGAGCGCCAGCGAGAGAGCGUUGCCGCAGGCAACGACCCGAAGGGCGAAGCGCGCAGCGCUGAGUAAUCCUUCCCCCACCACAA